GCUGGAUCGCGGAUAGGGAGCGCGAGCGUGAAGAAACCGGCCGCCAUCUUACGGUGCUCACAACAGUCGCCGCAGCGAUCAUGGCAACUUCUUGCAAUUGCGGUCGUACCAACCGUACUGGCAAGGUUACAGGGCCUAAAUUUAUACAGGUUUCGUCAUGAGGGCUACCCAGUGAAUAAUCUGUGUAGUGUGAUACGGCUGGGUGUACAGGUUACUUCACAGCUGCCUCGACAUACUCAAGAAAUGGGUGCAGAACCUGCGUAAUGCCCACAAACUUUGAUUACCACAGCACCUCCAGAAAGUAUGUGUCACAUGGGAUUUUUAAAUGUAUUCACAGUAUAUAAUACCUUGUAUUAACGGUUGUAGAUCUAAGCCGUCUCUACAGUACACUCUCAGAAAUUAAAACCGUGAGAACCGUGAUAAUUGUUUCAGUUAAUAGGCAUGCACAUAUAUGCUAUAAGAAGAAAAUUAUUUCUUGAGAAUGCACUUCUCUGGCUACCGGUGUUGUUUACAUCUACUGUUGAUCACAUUCAUUUAUCACGUAUUAUAUUCUUAUAUAUACUAUUAUAUUAACACAUAUUUGAUCACAUUAAAUUCAAAAUUCAUCAUAUAUAAGAAAAUACCAGGAGGGAAGUUGCUAUUCAUUGCUCAUUCUAACCUAAAAUUGAGUGCUACAAAUUUAGAGACAGUACCUGUCCAUUGUCAUUCCUAAAAUAUAUAUUGUCAUUGUAGCAAGGUCAUAAAACAAUAAAUGUAGUCUUUUGUGACCUCCCUGCACGUUCAUUGUAUCCUGAAACGCAUAAGUGCAAGAAAUAACUUUAAUAAACGUGAUAUAAAAUGUUGAAUAAUAUAAUGUAUGAUAUAAAAUGUUG